rnacentral:rRNA from 1 species
CCUACGGGAGGCAGCAGUGGGGAAUAUUGGACAAUGGGCGAAAGCCUGAUCCAGCCAUGCCGCGUGUGUGCAGAAGGCCUUCGGGUUGUAAAGCACUUUCAGUGGGGAAGAAAGCCUUGGGGCUAAUACCCUCGAGGAAGGACAUCACCCACAGAAGAAGCACCGGCUAACUCCGUGCCAGCAGCCGCGGUAAUACGGAGGGUGCGAGCGUUAAUCGGAAUUACUGGGCGUAAAGCGCGCGUAGGCGGUCUGAUAAGCCGGUUGUGAAAGCCCCGGGCUCAACCUGGGAACGGCAUCCGGAACUGUCAGGCUAGAGUGCAGGAGAGGAAGGUAGAAUUCCCGGUGUAGCGGUGAAAUGCGUAGAGAUCGGGAGGAAUACCAGUGGCGAAGGCGGCCUUCUGGACUGACACUGACGCUGAGGUGCGAAAGCGUGGGUAGCAAACAGGAUUAGAUACCCCGGUAGUC